rnacentral:tRNA from 1 species
GUCCAUGUGGUGAAAUUGGUAGACACGUCAGCUUGAGGGGCUGAUAUUCGAAAGGAUGUGCAGGUUCGAGUCCUGUUAUGGACA